UGAAAAUGUUUAUAUAAAGGCAAUAAGGUGGUUGUUGUUUUUCAGUUUGGGUUUGCAACAACAGUUUCUCAACAUCUCACCAAAGGAAGUGUUUUAAUGCUACUGGCUGAGUCUGAUGACCACAGAACUGCGAAAACAGACUGGUUGACUCACAGCAGCUCUAUCCGGUUUAACUGGAAUAUACUGUUCACAUCUUCAUAAUGAAGCAGAUUUUGGGGGGUCCUCCUCAUAUUUGAAAGUCUAUGAGGCAAAUGAAUAAGAGAGAAUUCACAUUUUUACAGACUUUUUAAGACAUCGUUGAAGAUGGAGACUACUGAGAUGGCUGCCAGAAAAUCUUUCAUUGUGAUGAUUAACAUGAUUGCAUGGAUGAUUUUAAUAACAGCUACUGGAUUAGGAGUGAUCCAUUUUCAUGAGUGCCCUGUCCAGCCAAACCUCCCCAUCUAUGUGACUGUGAUUGGAGUGACCGGUCUGCUUUCACUGUUGGUCAUGUACCUGAGGAACACUUUGGACGACGGUCUGCUGGUUCGCUUCUGCAGUGCCUUCAGCUUUACGCUCUACCUAUUCAUUGUGUGCUGGUUCAUUGCUGGUACCUACUGGAUUUACUCCAUAUAUCCUCCCAACUAUGUUCCCACCAGUACUGGAGACCACUGUCACAAAGCCCUGUAUCUGUUUGCAUUUUGGAUUAACAAUCUAAGCUUUCUUUGUGUGUUCAUACUGUCUCUUUUUGCUUUGUAUACCACUUUGAACGGUAGAAGUAUAUUGUUCACCAACAGAAACCAAUAUGUUAAAAUUUAG
ensembl:lncRNA